rnacentral:lncRNA from 1 species
GCCCUCGGCCUCGCUCUUGCGCACGGGACCACAAUGCUCCGCGCCGCUUGUCAUUGGGAGGCGCCGAAGGUGGAGAGGUCGGCUCGGAAGGAAAAGAUCACUCACUCUUGGGGGCAUCCAGCAGCCAUGUUGUGAGGACACUCAAGCAGCUGUGAAGAGGUGCACCUGGAGAGGAACUGAGGCCUCCCACCAAAACCAAGCACUGACAUGCCACUCAUGGCAAUCACAGGAAUAUAUAAAACAUGAGCAGAAAGAGGCCUUUGGAGAAAUCUGGACCAGCAUUCUCAUUUUACGGAUGAGGGACCACGGCCCAUGGAGGUUUCCAUAGAUGAUUGGAAAAACCCAAGAGUUGGUCCUCUGUUCCAGACCCCACACAGACACAAACCUACAAGCCAAGGGAGCCAGUAUUUGGCCAUUCGUCCAUCCAUCUGCAUGUCCCAGGGAUGCACGAACAGGGAACACUUCAGCCUUUCGGCUGCCUUCAAAGAAGCAAUGAGAGAGAGAGAGAGGGUUACUUUGAUGAGUGAGCAGAUACCAGGUACUGUUUUGGGGAAACUGCUUUUCUCUGAGUCUAUAUUGGUCUGCACAAAUAAACUAAAAUGCUUUUUAAGUUGUUUUAUGAUCU